UAUAGCCACUGUAAAGGCACACGCACUACAAGAAAAACCAAGUUUUGCGGGGUGCGACCUCACCGCAAUUACCCUGUUUUAUCGCAGAGUUAGAUGAACUACUGCGAGCUCAUUUCACCGCUAAUCGGUCGGGAAUAAUACGUCUGGUCAGACUAAUUUCGGUGAAUACUUGAAGGUGACCGCAGUUGCUAUAGAUAAAGCUGCCGAUGGUUCCCGCAGCAGAAGACGAUGGACACCGAGGGUUUGAAGGGCAAUUUCGGUGGAAAUUCGUCGGCUUUGAAGGCCAAUUUCGGUGAUAGUUACGGCCAUUUUCUAGCACGGCAAUCGUUACGAUUCGGCGAAUUUGGGCACACCGAAAUUCCUCGAGUAUGUUGCCGCCGACUGCUCCCGCAGCAAUGAUUCGAUCCCAUCUUGGAUUGGAGGGCAAUUACUGCCAAAUAUUGGGACGCCGCUGUUUAAUGCUUACUACGAAUUGUUUGGGUCAUCGCAAAAGCUACUUCAGCUUUUUGCUGGAAAAUCGGGAAAAUAUAUAAAACAAUGGGGAUGAGAUUGCGGUGAAUUUGAUCUGGCACUCGAUUCGUGGAGUUCGCAUAUUUCAGGGGAAGUGGUGAAACCGUAGGAAAUGCCAAUUGCUUGUGGGUAAUUGCGAUGAAUAAAUAGAGGCAUUUCUUGCGGAUUCACGAUGAAUUUGUUGGGCAGAAGUCUACUGUUUUUUUGAAAGGGUUUUUUCUGAAUUCAUGAUCAGCUACGUAUGUUAUUAUGGCUGGAACUGAAUCUCAGAAACCAACCCACAGGUAUUUGUUCCUUAAUCUCAACUGCUCGUAAACCCAUUUGCAUUUCAUACGUACAAUAGUCUACUUCUAUUCAUAGCCCCUGAACCCAUUUUUACAAUAUUGAGAAAUUUGCCCCUGAACCCAUUUUUACAAUGUGUCAAUUUAACAACCUUGUAAAUAAAUCUCCAAGUACAUAUUCUUUGAAUUGCAUUUUUGAACAACCUGAGAACUCGUAUCAAUCUCUUGUAAUACAUAGUACUCUGCCAAUCCUUGUUUCUAGGACUUUUUGUUUUAGAUUUAAUGUAGCUUUUUUCACAUGUUCAGCAAACUAAAACAGCAUAUAUAUUACUCUGUUUUCAUUUAGAAUAUUGCCAUCGAGGUUUCAUACAAGCUUGAAUUAACAUCUCAUUUACGUUCACAACAUUAUACAUUAUACAUGAUAGAAAGAGGAAAUGUCAUGCAAAAUCAAGCUUAUAUUCUUAAAUACUAUCUACCACUGGUGUGCUAGAAAUUAUAUCAUGUGCCACUCAUGGGAUCAGUCCUCAACAUGGCUAUACAUUUAAACCUGGGAGUGAAGUCUAUAUAUAGCAUCCUGCAGGCAGGUUCAUUAGUGCAUCAAAAAAUUACAAGCUUCCCUCAUAUCAACCUGUCAUAUGUACCUGCAUAUUACAAAGAUGAAAACAAUUACAGUCAAAACACACUCUACAGCCUACUCCAUACCAUUCAACCUGAAUUGUUGAACAAAAAUCAUUCACCAAAACUCCAUUACAGUCCAACCUAGACAGAGUUUUAUUUUUACCUAUUAAGCUAUAUUCUCUCAAGUAUAUGUUUAAAUAUCACAAACAUCAUGAAACCUUGUCUUACUACUUGUACUUGGCAUCUGAUUUGUUUUUUGGAAUGUAAGAAUAAUAUUGAAAGGUUUUUUAGGAAUAUGGAAAAAUGUUAUUUAUGAAAUUCUAUAACUGCAUCCAGUAUUUAUGCAUCUAUUGCCAUCGAGGCUACUAGAGAAGAUUGUAUAAGUUUAACAAAUAACUUGAUUGAGAAAAGGGAAAUAAUUAUUUCUAAACCAAUAAAAUCCUUUAAAAAAACCAGACAACUUGUUUUAGAAUGAGACUCCUCUCAUACGCUAAGAAAUGCAUGAUUAGAGUAAUAGAUCAUCAAAUUUGAUGCAGAAUCAUCACACCAAAUAUGGAGGGAAAUUAACCAUAGUCAAAACAAUUACAUGCUAAAGUCCAGCUAUAAACCAUCACCUAUAGUUCAGUCAACAAGUCUUUACCAUUUCAGGAAAUUUUGUAUUGCCUAGUAAGCUAGAUUCUCUCAAGUUCCAGGUGCUAAAACCAGUUAACACCAUUUUCUUUUAUUAAACUACUACUUGUACUUGGUAUCACAAGUAUCUUCAAAUAGAGAAUAAAGCUACAAAUCUGAUGCAAAAAUAAUAGAUAACAAAUAUUUCCAGAAAUUAACCAUUUAAAAAACAGUUACAUGCUAAACUCAGCUACUUUAACCAUCACCUAUGCUCAAUCCAUUUCAGCAUUACCUCAAUAUAAUAUUUUAUUUCAGCCACUAGACUAGAUUCUCUCAAGUUGUAGGUUAUAAUAUCCAGUUAACAUCACAAGUCUCUUAUUAAACUACUACUUGUACUAUGUACCACAUGAGUAUCUUGAUACCAAAGAAUAAUAUUGGACAACAUUAGAAAAGAAUACGGAGGAAUGUUAUAUAUCAAAAUAUAUUUUGCAUCUAGUAUUAAUAUUGUUUGUAAGUGCCUGCUAGAGAAGAUUGCAUAUAUAUAACUAGUCUAAUUGAUUGAGAAAAGGGAAAUAAUUAUUCUUUGGUAUACCAAUAGUUUUAUUUCAAUCUUUCAUUCAACUUGUUUAAGCAUUAUGUAUCCUCUCAUACACUAAGAAAUGCAUGAUUUAUAGAAUAGUACUUCAAAUCUACUAUUUCUUAUCACACCAAAUAUUUUUGGAAAUUAACCAUUAAAAUCCCAAUUACAUGUUAAAGUCAAUUUUAACCAUCACCUAUACUCAAUCCAUUACAGCAUUACCUCAUAAGAAAUCUAUUAUGAAACCUAGUGAGCUAGAUUCUCUCAAGUUGCAGGUUCAUAUAUCCAGUUAACUUCAUUUAGUAUUAUCACAAGCUUAACCAUUGUCAAACAAGACACAACAGUAGGAAGGGGUAGACUUAAGCACACUUACAAAGGGCCAGACAAACCUUUAACAAACUGUUUCACAGCCCCAGUUCCAUGAUUUACAUGCCCAUCACUCUGCUGGGAUGCCAUUCCAGCAACUAAAACCAACUUCAGAAAACCUGCACCAUUUCCCCCACCACAACUAUGUAACAAAAUAUGUUCCUGCCACCAAAAGUUAGUAAUACUUAACAAAAUAUCUCUAUUACUGGGGAAAGAUAAACUGAUUUUCACCAAAUAUUUAACUAGCUAAAUGCAUCUAUUUUUACAUACCAAGAUAUUGCCAUAAUCUUAACUGACAUCAAGAAAAUGCUAGUUUAAUUUACUCAGCACACAUCACCACAUCGUGUGUCUCAUAUAUUGCAUAUCAUUAAAGAUAACCAAAUAAAUAGAUCUGCAUGAAGUGUUGUCAGACAAAACUUACAAAGGCACUAUAGAAGUGAACCAUCAUGGAGAAGGUACCCGUACAGAGUGGACUAAGAUGUAGAUUAUUACAUGGAGGUGAGAAAUCACAUCUCAUCAACUUUGCAUAAACAUGGAGCAGUUAAAAGAGCUCGAGUUAACAGUUAAGUUAGAGCAUGGAUUCAAGUUAUCAGGUUACUAAACACAAUAAGGUGCACCACAGACAAAGUACAAUGGGACUUAGCAUGUUGGAGUCAACUUACAUGGAUAUCGACAACCUAAAUGGAAAGUAUUGAAAAAUCCAGACAGUGAGAAAGUGACUUUUCAGCAAAAUCCAAAACUUUGCCUUUCGAGGUCAGCUGAGUAAUAUGUGAAAACUGGGGCUGGAAAGUAGUCUACUUUAUCUGCUUUAAGACUGAAAAAGGCAACAGUCAACUUUCCCCCCACAUUUUGCCGCUUCAAGAAAUUUCACACUCCCGCCACAUAGUUUUUGCUCCAAGUCUUCUUGUACUUUCUAAUUGUACAGUCCAUGGGACCCAGUACUUGAUCCUGCCUACUUUAGAUUUUAUUCUUAUUCUUAUUGUACAAGAAGGCAUACAAUACAAUAAAGAGAUGUCGAAUUCUUGUCCAUUAAUACAAGUCUUAUUCUUAUUGAAA